rnacentral:tRNA from 1 species
UUUAAAUUAAGAAACAAUUAUUUGUAUUCAAUUUCGAUUUGAAAUUUUGAUUUUUAAUCCUUU